rnacentral:rRNA from 1 species
GCACGGGUGAGUAACACGUGAAUAAUCUACCUCCGAGUGGGGAAUAACUGAGAGAAAUCUUAGCUAAUACCGAUAACACUUACGAGUCAAAGCAGCAAUGCGCUUGGAGAGGAGUUCGCGGCAGAUUAGUUAGUUGGCGGGGUAAUGGCCCACCAAGACGAUGAUCUGUAUCCGGCCUGAGAGGGCGCACGGACACACUGGAACUGAAACACGGUCCAGACUCCUACGGGAGGCAGCAGUGGGGAAUUUUGCGCAAUGGGGGAAACCCUGACGCAGCAACGCCGCGUGGAGGAUGAAAUCCCUUGGGAUGUAAACUCCUUUCGAUAGGGAAGAUAAUGACGGUACCUAUAGAAGAAGCCCCGGCUAACUUCGUGCCAGCAGCCGCGGUAAUACGAGGGGGGCAAGCGUUGUUCGGAAUUAUUGGGCGUAAAGGGUGCGUAGGCGGUUUGACAAGUCUCAUGUGAAAUCUUCGGGCUCAACCCGAAGUCUGCAUGGGAAACUGUCGGGCUUGAGUAUUGGAGAGGUGAGUUGGAAUUUCCGGUGUAGCGGUGAAAUGCGUAGAUUCGGAAGGAACACCUGU